GAAUAUGAAGUGAUAGAUCACAAUUAGUUUCGACCUAAUACUAGGUAUUAUAAAUACCCUUAUUCU
rnacentral:tRNA from 1 species